UUCCCUUGCACAGAAAAACGCAGAUAGCUAACGUGCAAACAAUGGAGGUGGGAGGAGGUCCCAGAGCUCCAGGGCUUGAAGCCGGGUAGGACCCUAGGCUCACUCUGUAUUGGGCACUGUGGCGGGUCCUUCGCAUGCGGGAUUAUGAAUCCUCACCAGAGCCGAAGGCAAAGGGUGCUCUUGCCCCUGAUUUAUGCCUGGGGAAAGGGAGAAGCAAUCGUCCGAGUACCAGGGCUAGCUUGGGGUUGGAGCCAGGACCGGAACCCAGGAGGGUUUCUCUCCUCGAGUAAAGGGUAGAAGAGAGACAGGGUGCUUGAACACCUUCGGUGGCCCGAGCGGGGCAGAGGAGAGAGGCACAGCUGCCCUCUUUCAGGGAGCUGUGGUAGGUGGGCUCCACGCUCGGACCCCGGGGGCAGGCGGGAGGGGGCGGGGACAGAGGGUGGGGUGCUGCGCCCUGGCCGCUGCUGCGCCCGCGCCGGCCCCUCCGCCGCCCCCCAAGCCUGGCUCCCCGCGCGCCGGGCUUGCUGCCGGCACCGGAUGGAGAGUCCCGAGAAGGCUUAAUUUGCAGGAAGACAUUCUCAUCAGAUCUCGUCUCCGGCAGCCGAGAGCUGCUGCCGGGGGUCGGGCCGGGCUCCUCCCAGCACUCCUCCCCCGGGCCCUGGCUGGACGAGAAACAGAGAUGGUGGCAGCAGAAACUGGAGCCCCGGCGCCGGAGCGGCCGCGAGGGGCCGGGGCCUUUGAGGGCUUCGCUGCUUCUUGCCAAGGGCCGAGAAAGUGUGUAGAAUUGAAGGGAAGAAGUUCCGGAGAGCCAGAAACUUCCGGAAGCACUUGAUUCCACGAUUAAAGACUACCCGGCUCUACUGCUCA